GAAAACGGACAAACCAUGAGUCUGAUUCUGAUGGCCAAAAUGAGUCGGGCUGUCAAUUCUCAAUUCUCAUCGUCAAAAUGUGGUCAAAAUAAAGACGACCACAACAUUUGUUAUUCAGAAUUUUAAAGUUUUGGUUUUUCUCGACCCAAUCCUCCACCAUUCACAGUUGCUCCGCAUACUUUCUUAUAGUCACGUGAUUAAAUGGAAUGAAACAUGGAAAGAUGGCGGAAUUCCAGUGGAAUAGUAAUUCAUAGAGAUGCCUUAGUAAGGUUUUAUUUUCAUUCCUUUUGAACUUUUUAAAUCAUUCAGUCAUGCAGAAGAACGUGAAAACAAAGAACGUGUUCCUAUCUGGUGCUUUACAAAGAAUUCUUCUCGAUAAAGAAACAAAAAAGUCUCAUCAUUCACAACUAAAGAAAGCUUGCGAAACGGCUUUAGAGGAAAUAAACGCUGUUCAAGGAAAUGAAAAAUCUACAGGGAAUGUUUCUUCUGCAACUCUACCUCCACUACCUGGUCAGCAAACAUUCACAGCAGA